rnacentral:rRNA from 1 species
UACAGAGGGGGCAAGCGUUAUUCGGAAUUAUUGGGCGUAAAGGGCGCGUAGGCGGCCUGACAAGUGGAAGGUGAAAUCCCUCGGCUUAACCGAGGAACUGCCUUCCAAACUGUUUGGCUUGAGUCCGGGAGAGGCGAGUGGAAUUCCCAGUGUAGCGGUGAAAUGCGCAGAUAUCAGGAGGAACACCGGUGGCGAAGGCGGUUCUCUGGGCAUUACCUGACGCUGAGGAGCGAAAGUGUGGGGAGCGAACAGG